GGGUGGAUUUGGGGCAGUUUUGGGGCCAAACAGGGUGGAUUUGGGGCCAAACAGGGCAGAUUCAGGGCCGAUUGGGGCAGUUUUGGGGCCAAUUAGGGCGGUUUGGGGCCGAUCGGGGUGGUUUCAGGGCCGACUGGAGCGGUUUUGGGGCCAAUCGGGGGGGUUUUGGAGCCGAUCAGGGUGGUUUCAGAGCCAAUAAGGGCAGUUUUGGGGCCAAUUAGGGCGGUUUGGGGCCGAUCGGGGUGGUUUCAGGGCGGACUGGAGCAGUUUUGGGGCCAAUCGGGGUGGUUUUGGGGCCGAUCAGGGUGGUUUCAGAGCCGAUAAGGGCGGUUUUGGGGCCAAACAGGGUGGAUUUGGGGCAGAUCAAGGCGGUUUUGGGGCCGAUCAGGGGGUUUGGGGGCCAGUCGGGCCAGUUUUGGGGCCGAUCGGGGUGGUUUCAGGGCGGACUGGAGCAGUUUUGGGGCCAAUCGGGGUGGUUUUGGGGCCGAUCAGGGCAGUUUUGGGGCAGAUCAAGGCGGUUUCGGGGCCGAUCAGGGGGUUUCGUGGCUGAUCAGGCGGUUUUGGGGCCGACUGGGGCAUUUUGGGGCGGUUUUGGGGUCGGGGCUCACCGUGAAGGCCAGCUCCUGGCCGCGGAAGACCCAGACGCCCGAGAUGCUGCUGUCGUUGUUGGUGCCGAACAGGAUGACGCUGGCGAAGGCGUUCUUACGCAGCUUGUCCAGGCGCUGGAACAUGCCUGUGAUGAGGUUGCAGCUCAUGAAGGUCUGGGUGAGCUCCUCGGGGUAGCGGUACUCGGCGUACCAGAUGGACCAGCCGUCCUUAUCGAAGUGCUCCCAGAAGUGGGGCAGCGCCACGCUCAGCGUGUCCUCGUUGGAGUAUUUGCGCUUGAACUCGUCGAUGACGAAGGGGCUGGGGGGGGGGGGCAGGCAAAAACGGGGGGGAAAAAGUGAAAUUGGAGAAGGAUAAAAUUAGAAAAAGCAACAGAAGCGGUGCAGAGGCAGAGUAAAAAAG
rnacentral:lncRNA from 1 species